rnacentral:lncRNA from 1 species
AUGCAUUUGUGGGUGUUCAUUUUAAAGAUGUUAAUUUGGCAAAGUCACAAGAACAAUGAACAUCCAGACUUUGAAAUUCUGAGACAAUAUUUCUAUUUGACCCAUCUUAUUUUCAUGGUUUUGUAUACAGGGAAUGCCAUAUGGAGAUAUAUGGAGAUAGAAGUAAGAAGACUACAAAGGAAGAGGGUGUGUACACACACCCUCUUCCUUUGCAGUCUUCUUACUUCUAUCUCCAUAUGGAGAUAUAUGGAGAUAGAAGUAAGAAGACUGCAAAGGAAGAGGGUGUGUGUACACACUUUUAGAAAGAAUGUAGACAUAUUGGAUCACAACUGGUAAUUUCAAAACUCAGCAUGAAGUACUUCCAAAUUAAUUAAACCUACAUAUUGGUAAUAUAAAUCUAUUUUGUCUACAUUAAAUUGAAUAGAUUAUUUUCCUAUCUCUUGAGACCUGGUGGGAGAUGCUCCCCAUGCAGAUCCUGUCUUUUUU